rnacentral:rRNA from 1 species
UACGUAGGGGGGAAGCGUUGUCCGGAAUCAUUGGGCGUAAAGCGCGUGUAGGCGGCCUUGUAAGUCCGUUCUGAAAGCCCGGGGCUCAACCCCGGGAGGCGGAUGGAUACUGCAGGGCUCGAGUACGGAAGAGGCGAGUGGAAUUCCCGGUGUAGCGGUGAAAUGCGCAGAUAUCGGGAGGAACACCAAUGGCGAAGGCAGCUCGCUGGGACGUUACUGACGCUGAGACGCGAAAGCGUGGGGAGCAAACAGGG